GCGAUUUUCUUCUUUUUUCUGCAUUUUCUACAUUUUCCAAAAUUUCUAAAAGCAAGCAUUAUUUUUAUCAUAAAAACUCAUAUGCCUGUAAUCCUAGCACUUCAGGAGGCCGAGAUGUGUGGAUCACUUGAACCCCGGAAUUCGAGACCAGCCUGGGCAACAUGGUAAAACCCCGUCUCUAACAGAAAAUGCAAAAAUUAGCUGGGCAUGGUGGCUCAUGCCUGUAGUCCCAGCCACUAGGGAGGCUGAGGCGGAAGGCGGAGGUUGCAGUGAGCUGAGAUUAUGUCACUGUACUCCAGCCCGGGUGACAGAGUGACACCCUGUCUCAAAAACAAAAACAAACAAACAAACAAAACACACAUAGGCUUAUAAUUUUAAGACAGACAGUAUCCUCCUUGGAACAAAUUCAAGGGCUUUAGCUUGUUCACCCUCUUUCCUGGGAUUUAUAUGCUGAAAAGUUCCAUUUUCUCUUUGAAGAGACUGAAGGACCCUGAAGCAGAGUGAGGCUGGUCUCUUCAACUUCAGAUGGGCCAAACCCCUUUUGGAAGUGCCUUCACACUCAGCUUUACCUACAGACCUUUGAUAAGCUUCCGGAGUUAGUGAAGGUGCAUUCAGCCCUGUUAGUGGUUGUUAAGAUAAAAAGAAUACUUAGCCUGGGAUAGCAUUUUAUUUUGCGGAGCUGAACUAUCUUAAUGUCAUUCUCUUGAGGAUUUUUUUUUUAGAUAUUACAGUUUGUACAGGACAGUGAGGCCCUGUGUCAAGAUGUUGGAAAUAAGGAAAACAAAGUUGUCUGCUGAGAGCUGCAUGUAUAAUUGGUAGGUCCAUCAUAACAAAAUUCCAAGCCUGCGUGGCUUAAAAAGCAGAAAUUCAUUGUCUUACAGUUCUGGAGGAUAGAAGCCUGAGAUCAAGGUGUUGGCAGGGUUGGUUCCUUCUGAGGGCUGUGAAGUAGGAUCUGCUCCAAGCCUCCCUCCUUAGCUUGCAGAUGGCUGUCUUCGCCCUGUGUCUUCCCCUGGGCUUCCUUCUGUAUGUAUUUGCAUCCAAAUUUCCUCUUCUUAUAAAGACAGCAGUCAUACUGCAGUAGGGCCACCCCAAUGACCUCAUUUUAACUUAAGUACCUCUUUAAAUACCCCAUCUCCAAGGAAGGUCAUAUUCUGAGAUACUAGGGCUUAGGGCUUCAACAUAUGACUUUUUUGGGUGAUUCCAGUCACCCUAUAACGAUGCAUUGCUAAGUGACCGACAGUAGGACACAGAGCUGUGCAGACUCUUAAAGAGUUGGAAUGGGUUCCUGACACGUCUGAUUUAACUGUCAGAUAGCUUGAAAAGUAAAAGUGAGAGGCAAUGUGGGCUGUUUCCACUGGGACCUGAUCAAGGAGGGAGAGCUUGGGCCCAGAAUUGCCAUCGGGCUGAUCCUGGGGAAAGGCAGGUACCCCUGUGGUAGAGACAAACUCAUCAGCUUAACUUGCGUCUAUCCAGAUCCACUUGUGGCUCUCUGACUUUCCAGUCAUGACUGGGACCAAGGUCCGUAACGUGUGCAAGCCUCCCCUGGAGAAAUGGGAAGAAGAAUUCCCUGCGAGACUGUCCUGCCAGUCCUGAAGUCUGCUGCAAGGCAAGAUUGUGAGGACGCUCGAGAUGCUUAAAAUCAUGAUCAUAAGGCCUUUUGGAAAAUAGCAUUUGGAUCCAAGAUCACAGGAAAUUGUCAACAGAUUUUCCAAGGAACCCACUGAGCUCUGGGAGUGUAUUCAAGGGGGCCUAGGAUUUUCUACCUGAACCCAGACGUUGCACCAACUCAUAGAGAAGGCUCGUCCCAUCUGAAUCAUAGGAUUAGCAGAGCAGGACGCUAAAGACCUUAAGAAGUGCUUUGUUGCUUUAUAUACAAAGUUCUAGAGAAAGAAGAAGAGAGAGCGUGCAGGCGCAGGCGGAAGUUUUAGAAGUGUGGUGGGAGAGACAACUGUGAAAUGGGAAAGAUGCUGAGAAGGAAGCCUCAGAUCGGUGGACAGCCCCAAGAAAGACACGGAGGAGUUACCAGGUGAGGAAACUGAGACCAGAGAAGGAAAAUAACUUGCCGAACGAAGGCUACAAACUUGCAAGUGAUGGGGCCUGGUUGAACUUAAGGUCUUUCUGUUUGGCAAUAGCAUCUCAGUGACAUCCUUGGUUGGAAUAGUUUUAGAAUCAAGACAUAAACAGCCACCCUCAGGCCUACAGCCAUUCCCCUUUUUGUUGAAAGAGGAAGCAGUCACAGAAGGCACCCUUCACCCACUCUCUGUGGUCUCAAGAAGAGGAACCUGGAUCUGAUUUGGAUUUUUUUGAAGAAAUCUUGCUUUGAUGUGGUCUAAUCCAACUUCUUCAUUUGCUGGUCUGAGUGGGACAGUGGGUGCUGUACCUCUGUGGGGACCGACCAAGGGGAUUCUCUCAGCCAGGGAUCCCCCCAAGGGCGGAGUUUCCCAGCCCCGGUACCCAUGACUCCUCGGGUACCUCCAAUGAUCUCCAGGCUAUUGGAACCUUCUCUAGACAAAAUUUAAAUAUUGAAAUAAAUAUUCUAUGAAAAUAAACCUGUGGGAAAAAAU
rnacentral:lncRNA from 10 species